CACUUCCUUGUUGAAAACAUUACUGGUGCUGUGGGUGUCUUUCCAGCCUGCAUCAUGGCACAAAAAAUCGCCAACUACAUGAAAUAUCUCCUCUGGCACGAGAGUGGAGCACUAAACUCACCAUGAUACAGCUGGACUUCAAUCUUUUGGGUGCAUCAGAAGCACUGGGAGAGCCCCGUGCCCAGAGUUUCAGAUUCAGUCUGGGAUGCAGCCGAAGAAUUUGCACUUAUAACAACUUCAAGUGAUGCUGAUUGUCCAGAGAUCACAUAUAGCAUCACUGGAAUAGCUGUAAUUAACAGGAUGUAUACAGAUUUGCUUCAAUAAAUUUCUGAAAAAUAA